rnacentral:rRNA from 1 species
AUCCUGGCUCAGAUUGAACGCUGGCGGCAUGCCUUACACAUGCAAGUCGAACGGCAGCACGGGAGCUUGCUCCUGGUGGCGAGUGGCGAACGGGUGAGUAAUACAUCGGAACGUACCCUGAAGUGGGGGAUAACGUAGCGAAAGUUACGCUAAUACCGCAUAUUCUGUGAGCAGGAAAGAGGGGGAUCGCAAGACCUCUUGCUUUAGGAGCGGCCGAUGUCGGAUUAGCUAGUUGGUGAGGUAACGGCUUACCAAGGCGACGAUCUGUAGCGGGUCUGAGAGGAUGACCCGCCACACUGGAACUGAGACACGGUCCAGACUCCUACGGGAGGCAGCAGUGGGGAAUUUUGGACAAUGGGGCAACCCUGAUCCAGCCAUGCCGCGUGAGUGAAGAAGGCCUUCGGGUUGUAAAGCUCUUUCGGCCGGGAAGAAAUCGCAUGGGUUAAUACCCUGUGUAGAUGACGGUACCGGCAUAAGAAGCACCGGCUAACUACGUG